UACGUAGGCAGCAAGCGUUGUUCGGAGUUACUGGGCGUAAAGGGUGUGUAGGCGGUUCUUUAAGUUUGGUGUGAAAUCUCCCGCUCAACCGGGAGGGUGCGCCGAAUACUGAGGAGCUAGAGUGCGGGAGAGGAAAGUGGAAUUCCUGGUGUAGCGGUGAAAUGCGUAGAUAUCAGGAGGAACACCGGUGGUGUAAACGGCUUUCUGGACCGUAACUGACGCUGAGACACGAAAGCGUGGGUAGCAAACAGG
rnacentral:rRNA from 1 species